GAAAAAGGCUUAGUAGCACCAAGAACUGCUAAUUCUUAACACCGCGGUUCGAUUCCGCAGCUUUUUCG
rnacentral:tRNA from 2 species